rnacentral:rRNA from 1 species
GGUAGGAGAGCGUUCUAAGGGCGUUGAAGCUAGACCGUAAGGACUGGUGGAGCGCUUAGAAGUGAGAAUGCCGGUAUGAGUAGCGAAAGACGGGUGAGAAUCCCGUCCACCGAAUGCCUAAGGUUUCCUGAGGAAGGCUCGUCCGCUCAGGGUUAGUCAGGACCUAAGCCGAGGCCGACAGGCGUAGGCGAUGGACAACAGGUUGAUAUUCCUGUACCACCUCUUUAUCGUUUGAGCAAUGGAGGGACGCAGAAGGAUAGAAGAAGCGUGCGAUUGGUUGUGCACGUCCAAGCAGUUAGGCUGGUAAGUAGGCAAAUCCGCUUACCGUGAAGGCUGAGCUGUGAUGGGGAAGCUCCUUAUGGAGCGAAGUCUUUGAUUCCCCGCUGCCAAGAAAAGCUUCUAGCGAGAUAAAAGGUGCCUGUACCGCAAACCGACACAGGUAGGCGAGGAGAGAAUCCUAAGGUGUGCGAGAGAACUCUGGUUAAGGAACUCGGCAAAAUGACCCCGUAACUUCGGGAGAAGGGGUGCUUUCUUAACGGAAAGCCGCAGUGAAUAGGCCCAAGCGACUGUUUAGCAAAAACACAGCUCUCUGCGAAGCCGUAAGGCGAAGUAUAGGGGGUGACACCUGCCCGGUGCUGGAAGGUUAAGGAGAGGGGUUAGCGUAAGCGAAGCUCUGAACUGAAGCCCCAGUAAACGGCGGCCGUAACUAUAACGGUCCUAAGGUAGCGAAAUUCCUUGUCGGGUAAGUUCCGACCCGCACGAAAGGUGUAACGAUUUGGGCACUGUCUCAACCAGAGACUCGGUGAAAUUAUAGUACCUGUGAAGAUGCAGGUUACCCGCGACAGGACGGAAAGACCCCGUGGAGCUUUACUGUAGCCUGAUAUUGAAUUUUGGUACAGUUUGUACAGGAUAGGCGGGAGCCAUUGAAACCGGAGCGCUAGCUUCGGUGGAGGCAUUGGUGGGAUACUACCCUGGUUGUACUGAAAUUCUAACCCGUACCCCUUAUCGGGGUAGGAGACAGUGUCAGGUGGACAGUUUGACUGGGGCGGUCGCCUCCUAAAGAGUAACGGAGGCGCCCAAAGGUUCCCUCAGAAUGGUUGGAAAUCAUUCGUAGAGUGUAAAGGCACAAGGGAGCUUGACUGCGAGACCUACAAGUCGAGCAGGGACGAAAGUCGGGCUUAGUGAUCCGGUGGUUCCGCAUGGAAGGGCCAUCGCUCAACGGAUAAAAGCUACCCCGGGGAUAACAGGCUUAUCUCCCCCAAGAGUCCACAUCGACGGGGAGGUUUGGCACCUCGAUGUCGGCUCAUCGCAUCCUGGGGCUGUAGUCGGUCCCAAGGGUUGGGCUGUUCGCCCAUUAAAGCGGUACGCGAGCUGGGUUCAGAACGUCGUGAGACAGUUCGGUCCCUAUCCGUCGUGGGCGUAGGAAAUUUGAGAGGAGCUGUCCUUAGUACGAGAGGACCGGGAUGGACGCACCGCUGGUGUACCAGUUGUUCUGCCAAGGGCAUAGCUGGGUAGCUAUGUGCGGAAGGGAUAAGUGCUGAAAGCAUCUAAGCAUGAAGCCCCCCUCAAGAUGAGAUUUCCCAUAGCGUUAAGCUAGUAAGAUCCCUGAAAGAUGAUCAGGUUGAUAGGUUCGAGGUGGAAGCAUGGUGACAUGUGGAGCUGACGAAUACUAAUAGAUCGAGGACUUAACCAA